rnacentral:rRNA from 1 species
GAUGAACGCUGGCGGCGUGCCUAAUACAUGCAAGUCGAGCGAACAGACGAGGAGCUUGCUCCUUUGACGUUAGCGGCGGACGGGUGAGUAACACGUAGGUAACCUACCUAUAAGACUGGGAUAACUUCGGGAAACCGGAGCUAAUCCCGGAUAAUAUUUCGAACCGCAUGGUUCGAUAGUGAAAGAUGGCUUUGCUAUCACUUAUAGAUGGACCUGCGCCGUAUUAGCUAGUUGGUAAGGUAACGGCUUACCAAGGCAACGAUACGUAGCCGACCUGAGAGGGUGAUCGGCCACACUGGAACUGAGACACGGUCCAUACUCCUACGGGAGGCAGCAGUAGGGAAUCUUCCGCAAUGGGCGAAAGCCUGACGGAGCAACGCCGCGUGAGUGAUGAAGGUCUUCGGAUCGUAAAACUCUGUUAUUAGGGAAGAACAAACGUGUAAGUAACUGUGCACGGCUUGACGGUACCUAAUCAGAAAGCCACGGCUAACUACGUG